AAUUAUGGAAAAGCAUCAGUUUUUUUUCAUUAUAGUGUCGGUUCUAGCUAGGUAGUGUAGCUUAAAAUUUGUCUUGUUAUAAUUUUGUCCAGACUCAAUAGGCAACCUCCUCUCCUCAGUAUCUCACAUAUUAAGCUCUCUCUUCUCUCUAUAUCGACGAACGCACUCACUUCACCUUAAGCCACCACCUUCUCUGACUCCUCAGGUACAAAGGCAAAAGCCUUCUCCCCGUUUUUUAGCUCAAAGUUGUUUGCUUAACUUUAAAACACGUACACAUUUAUCUUUUUUGUUUCAAGGUUUUACUUUCACAAACGGCAGCCACCACCAUCUCCGAUUCCGUCUUCGACUCCUCAGGCGCACCUGCGGCCACCUUCUUCGACUUCCCAGCCAUAAAAUCUGUUACAGAUUUCCAAGUGUACAAGGAGGUUGUUGGGUUGAAUUCGGUUGCACAGAUAACGCUGCAGUAUACCAUACAAAGGUUUCAUUUCUUUCCUUUUGCCCCUUUUUUGGGAUAUUGGUUACAAAAUCUGUUUUGAGCAUGGGUGUGAAAUUUACAGUAGGGGUUAGUAAGUUAAUUUCAUUCUCAAUGUACACAAAUGUUGUUCUUGCAUUAAUUCAUUUUCUUUUUAUUGAAAUUGAAUAAAACUAAUUCUCCUUGA